UACGUAGGGUGCAGGCGUUAAUCGGAAUUACUGGGCGUAAAGCGUGCGCAGGCGGUUUCUUAAGUCAGAUGUGAAAGCCCCGGGCUUAACCUGGGAACUGCGCUUGAAACUAGCGGGCUUGAGUGUGGCAGAGGGGGGUGGAAUUCCACGUGUAGCAGUGAAAUGCGUAGAGAUGUGGAGGAACACCGAUGGCGAAGGCAGCCCCCUGGGUCAACACUGACUCUCAUGCACGAAAGCGUGGGGAGCAAACAGG
rnacentral:rRNA from 1 species